rnacentral:rRNA from 1 species
GAUGAACGCUGGCGGCGUGCCUAAUACAUGCAAGUCGAGCGAACAGACGAGGAGCUUGCUCCUUUGAAGUUAGCGGCGGACGGGUGAGUAACACGUGGAUAACCUACCUAUAAGACUGGGAUAACUUCGGGAAACCGGAGCUAAUACCGGAUAACAUGUUGAACCGCAUGGUUCAACAGUGAAAGACGGUCUUGCUGUCACUUAUAGAUGGAUCCGCGCCGCAUUAGCUAGUUGGUAAGGUAACGGCUUACCAAGGCAACGAUGCGUAGCCGACCUGAGAGGGUGAUCGGCCACACUGGAACUGAGACACGGUCCAGACUCCUACGGGAGGCAGCAGUAGGGAAUCUUCCGCAAUGGGCGAAAGCCUGACGGAGCAACGCCGCGUGAGUGAAGAAGGUCUUCGGAUCGUAAAACUCUGUUAUUAGGGAAGAACAAAUGUGUAAGUAACUAUGCACGUCUUGACGGUACCUAAUCAGAAAGCCACGGCUAACUACGUG